rnacentral:rRNA from 1 species
UACGUAGGUGGCAAGCGUUGUUCGGAAUUACUGGGCGUAAAGGGCUCGUAGGCGGCCAACUAAGUCGGACGUGAAAUCCCUCAGCUUAACUGGGGAACUGCGUCUGAUACUGGAUGGCUUGGAUUUGGGAGAGGGAUGCGGAAUUCCAGGUGUAGCGGUGAAAUGCGUAGAUAUCUGGAGGAACACCGGUGGCGAAGGCGGCAUCCUGGACCAACAUUGACGCUGAGGAGCGAAAGCCAGGGGAGCAAACGGG